rnacentral:rRNA from 1 species
CCUUUCGGGGUGAGUGGCAGACGGGUGAGUAACGCGUGGGAACGUGCCCUUCAGUUCGGAAUAACCCAGGGAAACUUGGGCUAAUACCGGAUACGUGCGAGAGCAGAAAGAUUUAUCGCUGAAGGAUCGGCCCGCGUCUGAUUAGCUAGUUGGUAGGGUAAUGGCCUACCAAGGCGACGAUCAGUAGCUGGUCUGAGAGGAUGAUCAGCCACAUUGGGACUGAGACACGGCCCAAACUCCUACGGGAGGCAGCAGUGGGGAAUAUUGGACAAUGGGCGCAAGCCUGAUCCAGCCAUGCCGCGUGAGUGAUGAAGGCCUUAGGGUUGUAAAGCUCUUUCGGCGGGGACGAUAAUGACGGUACCCGCAGAAGAAGCCCCGGCUAACUUCGUGCCAGCAGCCGCGGUAAUACGAAGGGGGCUAGCGUUGUUCGGAAUCACUGGGCGUAAAGGGCGCGUAGGCGGCCAAUCAAGUCGGGGGUGAAAGCCUGUGGCUCAACCACAGAAUUGCCUUCGAUACUGUUUGGCUCGAGACCGGAAGAGGUAAGUGGAACUGCGAGUGUAGAGGUGAAAUUCGUAGAUAUUCGCAAGAACACCAGUGGCGAAGGCGGCUUACUGGUCCGGUUCUGACGCUGAGGCGCGAAAGCGUGGGGAGCAAACAGGAUUAGAUACCCUGGUAGUCCACGCCGUAAACGAUGAAUGCCAGCCGUUGGGCAGCUUGCUGCUCAGUGGCGCAGCUAACGC